AAUGCUUCCUGCCGUGGUUACGAAACCAUGUCGUUUUGUCAUUUUUUUUUUCUUUUUUUCAUUGUCUUCUUUUCUUUUCCCCGUUGUCUUCUCUCUCUGAGGCAUGCUGAGAACUCUAACCCACCCGACGGAGCAAAAACAGAGAGAUGAAACUAAAGGAGGGCAACGACGGCAAGGAGAUACUACAGUAAUGGAUUCUCAAUCUCUAUUUGUUUUCUUGUUUGCAUUCGCAGAGAUAAAAGAGGGAAAACAACAAAAAGCUCUUAUUUGGCUUUUCGACUUUGGGGUUCUUUAAUUUCUAUGUGGAUCAGAUAUGAAGAUUAAAGCUUAUAGAGCUCUCAAUUAGUGUCUAUGACGCAAAUUUAGCUUUGAUUUUGAUCCUGGGUAUUACCCAGAAAUUCGUGUAUGAAACUGUACAUGUGAGAGAUGGACCAAGCCGUCGAUCCUUCGCCGAAUGCACAGAGAGGUUUUUGAGUUCGAGCUCCAUUGAUUUUGGAUGUAGAAGGGGAAAAAUGAGAGAGGUAAAGAUGAAGAUAGAAAGAUAAAGCAAAGGCCAAAGAAUUUGACAAAGAUGAAAGAAAACACAAGGAUGAGGAAAUAUUAAAGUGAGAAAAUUAAAUUGAAGGAACAAAUGUGGUUGGACUAUUGAAGUGGCUCCUUUGGUUGGCAUGAAUAGUGACUUGAUUGAUCACAAUGAAAUUGGAUCAAAAUGACUGUAGUCAAAUUAAUAUGAAUGUAAGAUUAAUAUUUGCAAUGACAAUGUUGAUUGAAUAAAAUGAUAUGCUGGUUGAUUGAAUGAAA